AAACCAACAGGGAUUGCCUCAGUAACGGCGAGUGAAGCGGCAAAAGCUCAAAUUUGAAAUCUAGUACCUUCGGUGCUCGAGUUGUAAUUUGAAGAUGGUAACUUUGGAGUUGGCCCUUGUCUAUGUUCCUUGGAACAGGACGUCACAGAGGGUGAGAAUCCCGUCUGACGAGGUGAUCCAACUCUAUGUAAAGUGCUAUCGAAGAGUCGAGUUGUUUGGGAAUGCAGCUCUAAGUGGGUGGUAAAUUCCAUCUAAAGCUAAAUAUUGGCGAGAGACCGAUAGCGAACAAGUACAGUGAUGGAAAGAUGAAAAGAACUUUGAAAAGAGAGUGAAAAAGUACGUGAAAUUGUUGAAAGGGAAGGGUAUUAGAUCAGACUUGGCGUUUUAUGAUUAUCUUCCCUUCUUGGGUUGUGCACUCGUAUUGCGCUGGGCCAGCAUCGAUUCGGAUGGCAGGAUAAUGGCGAUUGAAUGUGGCAUCCACUUCGGUGUAUGUGUUAUAGCUUUUGUUGAUGCUGCCUAUCUGGAUCGAGGACUGCGUCUUUUGACUAGGAUGUUGGCGUAAUGAUCUAAUA
rnacentral:rRNA from 1 species